UAAGACGGAGGGUGCUAGCGUUGUUCGGAAUUACUGGGCGUAAAGGGCGCGUAGGCGGCCAUGUAAGUCGGGUGUGAAAGCCCGGGGCUCAACCCCGGAACGGCACCCGAGACUGUGUGGCUCGAGACCGGAAGAGGUGAGUGGAAUACCCAGUGUAGAGGUGAAAUUCGUAGAUAUUGGGUGGAACACCGGUGGCGAAAGCGGCUCACUGGCCCGGUUCUGACGCUGAGGCGCGAAAGCGUGGGGAGCAAACAGGAUUAGAUACCCUGGUAGUCCACGCCCUAAACGAUGCGAGCUGGAUGUCGGGGGACUUGUCCCUCGGUGUCGAAGCUAACGUGAUAAGCUCGCCGCCUGGGGAGUACGGCCGCAAGGUUA
rnacentral:rRNA from 1 species